rnacentral:rRNA from 1 species
AGGACGAACGCUGGCGGCGUGCUUAACACAUGCAAGUCGAGCGGAAAGGCCCUUCGGGGUACUCGAGCGGCGAACGGGUGAGUAACACGUGAGCAACCUGCCCCUGGCUCUGGGAUAGCCUCCGGAAACGGGGAUUAAUACCGGAUAUUCACUGUCUCCUGCAUGGGGGGUGGUGGAAAGUUUUUCGGCUAGGGUGGGGCUCGCGGCCUAUCAGCUUGUUGGGGGGGUGACGGCCCACCAAGGCGACGACGGGUAGCCGGCCUGAGAGGGCGACCGGCCACACUGGGACUGAGACACGGCCCAGACUCCUACGGGAGGCAGCAGUGGGGAAUAUUGCGCAAUGGGCGGAAGCCUGACGCAGCGACGCCGCGUGCGGGAUGAAGGCCUUCGGGUUGUAAACCGCUUUCACCAGGGACGAAGCGGAAGUGACGGUACCUGGGAAGAAGCGCCGGCUAACUACGCGCUAGCAGCCGC